rnacentral:rRNA from 4 species
AAGGCUGAGCUGUGAUGGGGAAGCUCCUUAUGGAGCGAAGUCUUUGAUUCCCCGCUGCCAAGAAAAGCUUCUAGCGAGAUAAAAGGUGCCUGUACCGCAAACCGACACAGGUAGGCGAGGAGAGAAUCCUAAGGUGUGCGAGAGAACUCUGGUUAAGGAACUCGGCAAAAUGACCCCGUAACUUCGGGAGAAGGGGUGCUUUCUUAACGGAAAGCCGCAGUGAAUAGGCCCAAGCGACUGUUUAGCAAAAACACAGCUCUCUGCGAAGCCGUAAGGCGAAGUAUAGGGGGUGACACCUGCCCGGUGCUGGAAGGUUAAGGAGAGGGGUUAGCGUAAGCGAAGCUCUGAACUGAAGCCCCAGUAAACGGCGGCCGUAACUAUAACGGUCCUAAGGUAGCGAAAUUCCUUGUCGGGUAAGUUCCGACCCGCACGAAAGGUGUAACGAUUUGGGCACUGUCUCAACCAGAGACUCGGUGAAAUUAUAGUACCUGUGAAGAUGCAGGUUACCCGCGACAGGACGGAAAGACCCCGUGGAGCUUUACUGUAGCCUGAUAUUGAAUUUUGGUACAGUUUGUACAGGAUAGGCGGGAGCCAUUGAAACCGGAGCGCUAGCUUCGGUGGAGGCGCUGGUGGGAUACCGCCCUGACUGUAUUGAAAUUCUAACCUACGGGUCUUAUCGACCCGGGAGACAGUGUCAGGUGGGCAGUUUGACUGGGGCGGUCGCCUCCUAAAGUGUAACGGAGGCGCCCAAAGGUUCCCUCAGAAUGGUUGGAAAUCAUUCGUAGAGUGCAAAGGCAUAAGGGAGCUUGACUGCGAGACCUACAAGUCGAGCAGGGACGAAAGUCGGGCUUAGUGAUCCGGUGGUUCCGCAUGGAAGGGCCAUCGCUCAACGGAUAAAAGCUACCCCGGGGAUAACAGGCUUAUCUCCCCCAAGAGUCCACAUCGACGGGGAGGUUUGGCACCUCGAUGUCGGCUCAUCGCAUCCUGGGGCUGUAGUCGGUCCCAAGGGUUGGGCUGUUCGCCCAUUAAAGCGGUACGCGAGCUGGGUUCAGAACGUCGUGAGACAGUUCGGUCCCUAUCCGUCGUGGGCGUAGGAAAUUUGAGAGGAGCUGUCCUUAGUACGAGAGGACCGGGAUGGACGCACCGCUGGUGUACCAGUUGUUCUGCCAAGGGCAUAGCUGGGUAGCUAUGUGCGGAAGGGAUAAGUGCUGAAAGCAUCUAAGCAUGAAGCCCCCCUCAAGAUGAGAUUUCCCAUAGCGUAAGCUAGUAAGAUCCCUGAAAGAUGAUCAGGUUGAUAGGUUCGAGGUGGAAGCAUGGUGACAUGUGGAGCUGACGAAUACUAAUAGAUCGAGGACUUAACCAUAUAA